ACCUGGGUGGCUUAGUCGGUUAAAGCAUCUGACUUUGGCUCAGAUCAAGAUGUCAUGGUUCAUGAGUUCAAGCCAUGCACAGGGC
rnacentral:tRNA from 1 species